rnacentral:lncRNA from 1 species
GAGGAACCCGCCCGAGACUCUUAGUGCGUUUCUCUGGCCCCGCGGGAGAAAGCCCUGUGUACCUCAGAGUGUCACGCCCCUGGCGGCGUUUGGUCCACACACAACACUCGAUUUAGCUUUCUUCUUCCUUCCCUUCCCUUCCCUUCCCUUCCCUUCCUUCCUUCCUUCCUUCCUUCCUUCCUUCCUUCCUUCCUUCCUUCCUUCCUUCCUUCCUUUUAAAAAAGCUUAAGAUCGCUGCACAACUGCAAAGGGUUGUUAUUCUUGGACUUGGGACCACUUUGAAGGUACAAGAAGGUCUUUCUCCCUAAGGUCUUUCUGUGGAGAUGGUGAGUUUGGUUCUGGGCAGUCAGACAUGGAAGUCAUCCCAGUGUUGAGAAGUCAAUGUUAUAUAAACUGGUGUUCCCUUCUCUACGAAUACAGCCACUUUCUGCUAGUUUAACAGACACCGCCAGCUCCCAAGAGAAUUCCACAAAAGCCUUUGAUUCAGGGAAGCAAAAGAUCCAAUAGAGACCCCAGCUGAGGGUCUCUGCCUCAUCUCUUAAGCUCCCACUCCCCUCAGCAGAGAGCCACGGGAGGAGGCUGGAGAGGGGAGGUUCGUGCGCCUGCCACACAAAGCAAACGGACUUUAAAAGUAAUGGCAAAGAUGGAGCUGCAAGCCUCUGGCAAGGAAGGAGAGAGGAGAGAAGAAUGCUUUCGUAGGAUAACGAGAAAAGCAGCCAAAACCUUCCUUCCCUGUCGGCCUGACCACGUUUGGGGAAUCUGUUUCAUUUAAGUUGCUGCAGAAAGGGGGAGAAAACGUAAUCUCACCUCCAGAUCCAUAGGCUUCUGCCAGAAGCAUGUUGCUGAGAAGAAAUGUGUGUACCCAAGCCAACAGCAUCCUCGUCUCUUCGGCUCGCAGCAGCAGUUUUGUCUCCUUGCAGUCAGACUGGCCGGCCCCUGUUAUGCUCUUCUGGUAAACAGCCUCUCUUUAGAACUGGGAGCUUCCCAGCUAGCUUGCUGCAGCCGAGGUGUUUUUCAGCUGAAAGGCGCCCCCUGGGUCCUAAGCCUCCUAGACCUUACCAGAUCACUAACCCUGAGCCAAGAGAGGAACUCAGCCAAGCCGAGAGUGGCAGAGAGGUUUUGCUUAGCAGCAGCUCCGCGUGAGACCUGCACAACUGCAUGCCCAGGGCUUUUCUUCCUUUUCCACCAGGGUACCAGCACUCACAUACACAGAAAUAAAAAUACAAUAAUUAAGAAUGAAUCUUACCAAUAAACAACGUGGGACUAAGUACGUAGCUCAGUGACAGAACAGUUACCUAGCACGCACAGGGCUGUGAGUUCCAUCAACAGGACUGAAAAAUCCAAAACUAUACAUCAAGCAUAUGUGACAUGGAAGCCCAUACUUUUAAAGAGAUUGCCUUAUAAUUUGUAAUUUUGACUAAAAUAUUUCUUUAACAAAUAAUUCAUAAAACUAUUGCCUGCACUUUUUUGUUUGGUUUGUUUUGGCAGUAAUAUUUUAUUAUUUUUUAAAGAUUUAUUUAUUAUAUGUAAGUACACUGUAGCUGUCUUCAGACACCCCAGAAGAGGGCAUCAGGUUUUGGUGAGGAAACAGGCCCACAUCAUUCUGAAAGAAGUUCCUGGAGGGUCUGAACCAGGCUCUCUGUCUCCUGGAUGAGCAUGAACCAGGGCACAGUGACGAUUGCCCAGAGAAGAGACUGUGCUUAGAGCAGCAGCAGUUCAAGCAUAUGACUGGAAAUCAUAAAGGCUGACACGUUUAAAAAACAAAAAGACCUACAAGUGUGGACUUGUGUUCAGGAAAUACCAAGUAGGAAGCAGCAUUGCUCAGCAGUCCCCAGCGGCUGUUCUGUGGGGACACAGCAUGUCUCACUUCCCUUCAGGCCCCAUGGGCUGCUGGUCCACCUCAGGAUCCACUAAAGAUGAUGCAAACGCUGACUGAACAAUCUGAAAUCCAAAGGACUCAAGAAGAGACAUGUUCUGCUGGGGAGAGAAAGGUGAACCAAGGGCAGGGCCCAGGUCCCCCAAGGGACCCCCAAGGGCACGGACAUGCACCUUCUGGAUGUGUUUGUUCAAGUAGGACUUAGAACGGAAGAAGCUCCCACAUUCAGGGCAUGGGUACUUCUUCUCCCCGUCAGACUCCAUUUUGUUUUUAGGGACUGCCACGUCGCAGGAGAAGGAGCCGUUGGCACUCUGUUUCUCUGGCGUCUUCAGGUCGCUGGCGUCGGAGAGGUCACCGUAGGAGUCGGAGCUCUCAAUCAGAUCCUGAUGUGAGCAUUUCUGGCCUUCUAUGGCAAAACAAAAGAGGGCAGAGAUGAGGCCAGGCAUUAGAGCCAUUCCCUCCUGGAGGGACCAUGACAGGCCAGCUCAGUCACUAACCUGGCAGAACCCAUGGAGGUUUGGCUGGUCUGAGUAGGAGCAUGGAAUGCCUGUAGGGGCAAGAUGACAGUGCCCUGGAGCCACCAGCCUCCCUCACUAUAAGCUCUAAAUGAGGAUGUGUGUGUAGACUUCACCAUCACCUCAGCCUGCUUCAAGGGCGGAAGGCCAAGGAGGGAUCCCCCUUACUUCUGCCCAGAACAACCCAGAGAUCCCCAAUCUCCAGGUGCCUCCAGGUGCAAAACUGUUCUGGUUAUGAUGAGCAGGGGUCGUUGGCUUGUCCCUGCGCUACACCAGUGGCUACCUUCACAAAGCAGGCCGAACGAGAACCAUGAGUUCCUCUACUCGGCUAGAUCCUACUGAUGGCUCACACGGCAACCAACGCUUAUACAAGGUCUACAUUUCCAUUUCUGCAAAGCCCUUUCCAGGGCCAUACAGCCAAAGCACACAGAUGAAAAGCAACUCUGAACAGCUCUGUCAGCUGGGGAGCCCAUCUAGACCAAGACAUGGAUGUUCCUUACUGCCCUACCUUGCCUGGCCCACACUGGGGUCUACUACCAACUACCAGCUUCCUGCCUGGGUCCAGAGAGCCAUUCCAAGAUGGGAGGUCUGUGAUGGGAGCACGGGGCAUGCCAUCUCUACCAUCCGCCACGUCCUGGCAAAAGGCAACAACAUGACACCCCAAACACCAUGAACCAACAAGUUAACAAUGAGCCUGGAAACUCUUGUCACACCAAUCCCAAACCAGAGGCAAUCAGGUAGCUCAUUUACUGCCAUGCGUCUCACAAAUGACAACCGACCACCGAUAUCAUAGAUAAGCCAGCCGCUGGCUCCCACCCACCCACAAGAUCAACCAAGAAGAAAGCAUUCAGCACCAGGUCCACACAGGUCCUACAGGGCAAUAGGCAGUAUCUAAGCCCAGAGUAACUGGUCAUGCAGUGCUCCUCUUCCUGCCCUAGGGCAACCCUGUAGGGCUCCAGUCAAUGGGGGCUAGCCAAGAGGAAGGAAGAAGGCUGGGGAAGAGGAGGCAGGCUGGAUCAGCAGUACCCUAAAGCCUCACUCACUGUCCUGGAGUGAGAAACCCGUGGCAAACUUUGUCCUAGAGAGCACUGCGAUUCUUGCCUCCCCACCACCCGGCCCAGCGCCCCCACAACACAGUCUGCGCAGAGAAGCAAAGUGCAGAGCAAGGGGUCGCUUGCCUUUGUUGCCAUAGGUCCUGGCGCAGUGGAACGCUGCUCCCCCAUUCAGGAUGGGUUCCUGGUGCCUGGAGACCUGGGGAAGGGGAACACCGUGGUGGGUUUUAACAUGGACCUUUAAGUAGGAGGCAGAGGAGAAACCUAAACAAGACAAAAGGAGAUGAGAUCCCACAGCCAGCAAGAGAUAGCUCUCUGCUCCCCACGCCUUUUCUUUGGCAGCUCUGGCUAGCAUUCCCUGGUCAGCUGCACCUGGAAGGGGUUCUCUCCUUGGCUCAAAAGCAUCUGCAAUCAUCACAUGAGGCCAUGAGGUUCAGAACGGAGAGCUCCACUGUCCAUGAGUCAGUCAGCUUCUCUGCCAAGGCUACAUUGAAGGGCCCAGGCCAGCCAUCUUGGCUCGCUUGGUGCCACAGUACCAGGUGGUUUGAGUAGAUGUCCCACAGGCCCAUGUCAGCUGCAGAGACCGUGGCUAGAAAUGUGAUCAGACAAGUAUAUGGUACUCCAGCCAGCAGAAGCCUGCUUAUAAUAUAAAGGAAAACCAGAUGGAGACAAGUGAAGUCUCCAAGGAAUGAAUGCUUCCAGGGGGUCCCCUUUCUUCUACCUGUUGGAGCAUACUUUAUUUUAACUUUUCCGCCUUCAGAACAAUGACUUAAGAGCCGAUUCCACCCUUUGAAGAACGGAGGCAGCUUGUGUGACAUCAUGGUCAUCCCUUAUCCAUGGUGGUCUUUUCAGUUUGGUUUUGGAAAAUCCAUCGAGUACACCCAGAAUGAUCUCUCGCCAUCUUGAAGUAGUCUCCACUUUACACCUCACUCAUGCUUUGGUCAGUUUAAGGCGUAAGUAUCUCAAGUUUGAAGCGCAGAUCUUGGGCCAUUUCCACAAAUGUCACAAGGCCUUUGGAGGAUGACAGCCACAAAAUCAGGCAAUAAAAUGACUUGUUUCA